rnacentral:miRNA from 1 species
UUUUUCCUUCGGCUGACACGU